CCUACGGGGGGCAGCAGUCGCGAAAACUUCGCAAUGGGGGCAACCCCGACGAGGGAAUUCCCAGUGCCAGCACUUUGUGUUAGCUGUUCUCUUGUCUACAAAACAAGAGGAGUAAGGGGCGGGUAAGACGGGUGCCAGCCGCCGCGGUAAUACCCGCGCCCCAAGUGGUGGUCGAUAUUAUUGAGCCUAAAACGUCCGUAGCCGGUCUUUUAAAUCCUUGGGUAAAUCGGGCAGCUUAACUGUCCGACUUCCGAGGAGACUGGAAGACUUGGGACCGGGAGAGGUCAGAGGUACUUCUGGGGUAGGGGUAAAAUCCUGUAAUCCUGGAAGGACCACCGGUGGCGAAGGCGUCUGACUAGAACGGAUCCGACGGUGAGGGACGAAGCCCUGGGGCGCAAACGGGAUUAGAUACCCGGGUAGUC
rnacentral:rRNA from 2 species